ensembl:misc_RNA 7SK 7SK RNA
GCAUCUGAGGCUGGGGGAAAGGCUUUGGCCGUUCACCUCUGUUAUGGCCCUCCCUUCAAUCUGUCACCCCAUUGAUGGCCAAGGUGGGGGUCCCCUUCCUCCCUCAGUGAUCCAUGUGGUCCCUCCCGAAGCCGCGCUCUCAGUGGAAGAGGACGACCACCCCACUGGAGGAGGACUGUAGCUGUGCUCCCCGCUAGAACCUACACACAAGCUCUCAAGGCCCCCUCCCUUCAAGGAGGCUGCACUAUAGAGCAGACUGACUGGGUUUCAUAGCACAGAUAAGUUCACUAAUAAAACAAAACUGUUG